GCAUAUCUGAUAAGUGAUAAUUUGAGUGUUUUUGCUAUGUGUGAAUAACCUUCCGAAGAAAACAAAGACCUAGUGUUCCUCUUUGACACAUAUGCCAUAUGAGAACACAACCCCCCCCCCCCCAAAAAAAAAAAAAAAAACACGAAACCCGAGUGAUUAUGAUCACUAUGUUAUGAUGAUUGAUCGACGAAUCAGGAGUGCAUAUAUUCAGGGCGCGAAAUAAUGGCUGGAGGUUCGCCGGUCAAGGUGACCGUGGCCUUAACUCUUAAGACAAAAGCAUGGCCAUGGGCUUUGUGACGUACUGCGUGGGAAAGCUGACGUAUAUUGAAGUUCUUUUCCCACAAAAUAUUCGACAACAUGUUAUAGUUCUUAUUUUGAUUAUUAAUUCAAAUGAAGAUUAGUUUGUUCUUUUACCGAAAGUGAUCGGUCAAAAUGAUAGGCAAGGUAAGAAUUUGGCCGGACAACUCCGCAUUCUGGCCGGACAUUGUCCGUUGACCGGACGUUAUUUCGCGCCCUGCAUAUAUUGCAGUUUUAUGUUAUGAACCCCAGAAACCUUUGUUCAUUUCAGUCAAAUGAAAGGGAAACAUUGAAGCUUGCGGGGCAGAUUGAAGUUCUGGAUGUAAAAUUGUGUGCCCAUUGGCUAUUUUGAAACCUUACCAACACCGCCUUAGCAACAGCGAAAUCAUUUUUAUGAAGGUGAAAAAGAAACAUGGAAAACACAUAUAUAAUCAG